rnacentral:lncRNA from 1 species
CAUAGGUCAGGUGACAGGCUGAUAUUUCCCUUAAACUGAGUGCUACUCCCUAUUAUGCCAUGAUUUUCCUUUGCGACAAUGGGACAUUUAAACUCUCUGGACCCCCCUUUUGUUUUUUUGAGACAGGGUCUGGUUUUGUCACUCAGGCUAGAGUGCAGUGGCCCCAUCACAACUCAAUGCACCCUCCACCUCCCAACCUCGAUCAAUCCUCCCACCUCAGCUUCCCGGGUAGCUGGAACUGCAGGUGCACACCACCAUGCCCGGCUAGUUUUUUGUAUUUUUUGUAGAGAUGGGGUUUCACCACGUUGCCCAGGCUAGUCUGGAACUCCUGGGCUCAAGCAAUCCUCCCACCUCAGCCUCCCAAAGUGCUGAGAUUACAGGCAUGAGCCACCGUGCCCAGCGUGGAUCCAUUUUUUAAAUCUCCAACAAACAAUGGCUUUCUACUGUGUGCCUGGCUCUGAUCUAGACAUGGAAGAGACAAAGUGGGUUAGAUAAGGUCUAAUUCAAGGAAUGCCACUCUAAAGGAAAGAAAAAUUAUAAACAAGAAAACAUAGUAGGCUGUACAGAAGAUAAGCAGGUGAUUUGAUAGAAGCUUCUAGAGGUGGGGAAGAGGCAAGUGGUAAUUUUAUAAAAUCAGGUAAUCAGGAAAGCCCUCUCUGAGAAGGUGACCUCUAAGUUGAGAUCUGAAGAAGAAAGAGUGAGCUAUGGAAAGAGGCAAGUGGAACACUGAAGACCAGCAGAACAGCAUGAGCAAAAGUCCCAAGGUGGGAAACAGCUUGGCAUGCUGGGCAUAGAAAAAUGGCCAGUGGGGCUGCCUUUCUGAUCACACCAGAGGUCUGGGAUUUAUUCAAGGUAAUGAGAAUACUUUCUUCUGCUGCUUCUACCAGCAAACACUUC